rnacentral:rRNA from 1 species
UACGUAGGUCGCAAGCGUUGUCCGGAUUUACUGGGCGUAAAGCGUGCGCAGGCGGUCCGCAAAGUCUGAUGUGAAAGCCCCGGGCUCAACCUGGGAACUGCAUUGGAAACUAACGGGCUCGAGUGUGGCAGAGGGGGGUGGAAUUCCACGUGUAGCAGUGAAAUGCGUAGAGAUGUGGAGGAACACCGAUGGCGAAGGCAGCCCCCUGGGCUAACACUGACGCUCAGGCACGAAAGCGUGGGGAGCAAACAGG